GAUGAACGCUGGCGGCGUGCCUAAUACAUGCAAGUCGAGCGAACGGACGAGAAGCUUGCUUCUCUGAUGUUAGCGGCGGACGGGUGAGUAACACGUGGAUAACCUACCUAUAAGACUGGGAUAACUUCGGGAAACCGGCGCUAAUACCGGAUAAUAUUUUGAACCGCAUGGUUCAAAAGUGAAAGACGGUCUUGCUGUCACUUAUAGCUGGAUCCGCGCUGCAUUAGCUAGUUGGUAAGGUAACGGCUUACCAAGGCAGCGAUGCAUAGCCGACCUGAGAGGGUGAUCGGCCACACUGGAACUGAGACACGGUCCAGACUCCUACGGGAGGCAGCAGUAGGGAAUCUUCCGCAAUGGGCGAAAGCCUGACGGAGCAACGCCGCGUGAGUGAUGAAGGUCUUCGGAUCGUAAAACUCUGUUAUUAGGGAAGAACAUAUGUGUAAGUAACUGUGCACAUCUUGACGGUACCUAAUCAGAAAGCCACGGCUAACUACGUG
rnacentral:rRNA from 1 species